GACGAACCGAGCGAACGUUGUUCGGAAUCACUGGGCUUAAAGGGCGCGUAGGCGGGUCGCCAAGUCUGUGGUGAAAUCCUUCGGCUUAACCGAAGAACUGCCGUGGAUACUGGCGACCUUGAGGGAGGUAGGGGCAUGCGGAACUAUGGGUGGAGCGGUGAAAUGCGUUGAUAUCCAUAGGAACUCCGGUGGCGAAGGCGGCAUGCUGGCCCUCUUCUGACGCUGAGGCGCGAAAGCCAGGGGAGCAAACGGG
rnacentral:rRNA from 1 species